rnacentral:rRNA from 1 species
UACGUAGGGGGCUAGCGUUGUCCGGAAUCAUUGGGCGUAAAGCGCGUGUAGGCGGUCCGGUAAGUCCGCUGUGAAAGUCGGGGGCUCAACCCUCGAAUGCCGGUGGAUACUGUCGGGCUAGAGUGCGGAAGAGGCGAGUGGAAUUCCUGGUGUAGCGGUGAAAUGCGCAGAUAUCAGGAGGAACACCUAUUGCGAAGGCAGCUCGCUGGGACGUUACUGACGCUGAGACGCGAAAGCGUGGGAGCAAACAGG